GUGAAUCAUCGAAUCUUUGAACGCAUAUUGCACUCUCUGGUAUUCCGGAGAGUAUGCCUGUUUGAGGGUCUGUUAAAUAAAAAUCGGGGUUGUUGCUGCCUUUUUUUGUGUGGUGACGCUUCGGAAUUGGGUAAUCUUACCUUCGGGUUAAGUAAGUGACCUAAAAUUUUGCAUGAUUUUUUCGAACGUAUUUGAAUUUUUUUACGUACGUUUGUGAUAAUCGAAUAUAUUAGGUGUGGUCAUCCUCAUGAUUUCACGUCUAUAAUUUUUUUUUUCAUUUUUAGACCUCAAAUCAGGUAA
rnacentral:misc_RNA from 1 species